rnacentral:rRNA from 1 species
UACAGAGGUCCCAAGCGUUGUUCGGAUUCACUGGGCGUAAAGGGUGCGUAGGCGGUCGGGUAAGUCUGAUGUGAAAUCUCCGGGCUCAAGCCGGAAAUGGCAUUGGAUACUAUUCGGCUCGAGGUCUGGAGGGGGGACUGGAAUACUUGGUGUAGCAGUGAAAUGCGUAGAUAUCAGGAGGAACACCUGUGGUGUAGACGGCUUUCUGGACCAUAGCUGACGCUGAGACACGAAAGCGUGGGUAGCAAACAGG